rnacentral:rRNA from 1 species
ACCCAAUUGGGAUUGCCUCAGUAACGCGCGAGUGAAGCGGCAACAGCUCAAAUUUGAAAGCCCGCGGGCGUUGUAAUUUGCAGGCGGAUGUUUUGGGGCGGGCGCUGUCUACGUUCCUUGGAACAGGACGCCGCAGAGGGUGAGAGCCCCGUGCGAUGGCGCCUCCAACCGCGUAAAACUCCGCCGACGAGUCGAGUUGUUUGGGAAUGCAGCUCCAAGUGGGUGGUAAAUUCCAUUCUAAAGCUAAAUACUGGCGAGAGACCGAUAGCGAAACAAGUACAGUGAUGGAAAGAUGAAAAGCACUUUGAAAAGAGAGUGAAACAGCACGUGAAAUUGUUGAAAGGGAAGGGUAUGCGAUUAGCGGCCAGCAGGAGGUGCCUUCUCGUGAAAAGGCCGUGCACCGUCUUCGGACACCGUGCGCGGAGAUGGCGAGGGGGCGCCUGAGGUCUGCGACUCGAGGUUGCUGGCGUAAUGAUUAUACCCC